rnacentral:RNase_P_RNA from 3 species
AGUAGGUGUUGGAUAACUACUCCACGUAAAAAGUCGGAGAGGAAAGUCCGAACACAGUCCCGACGUAACGUCGGGAAAGGUAGUGGGUAACGCCCACAUAUAGCAAUAUAUAGGUGCGAACAGUGACGAACCGAUUCAGUUCGGGUGAAACGGCUAAAUCCUUACCUCUGUGCAAGAUCGUGUCCCUCCUGCUAGUCAGUGAGGGGAGAAUCGCUUGAGUCCCGAAGCAAUGAGGGACCUAGAUAAAUUGUUAUCAUCCCAAGCGAAAGCGAGGGACCACAGAAUUCGGCUUAUAGACACCUACAAAAA